GACGAACGCUGGCGGCGUGCUUAACACAUGCAAGUCGAACGGAAAGGCCCUGCUUUUGUGGGGUGCUCGAGUGGCGAACGGGUGAGUAACACGUGAGUAACCUGCCCUUGACUUUGGGAUAACUUCAGGAAACUGGGGCUAAUACCGGAUAGGAGCUCCUGCUGCAUGGUGGGGGUUGGAAAGUUUCGGCGGUUGGGGAUGGACUCGCGGCUUAUCAGCUUGUUGGUGGGGUAGUGGCUUACCAAGGCUUUGACGGGUAGCCGGCCUGAGAGGGUGACCGGCCACAUUGGGACUGAGCUACGGCCCAGACCCCUCCGGGAGGCAGCAGUGGGGAAUAUUGCACAAUGGGCGGAAGCCUGAUGCAGCAACGCCGCGUGCGGGAUGACGGCCUUCGGGUUGUAAACCGCUUUCGCCUGUGACGAAGCGUGAGUGACGGUAAUGGGUAAAGAAGCACCGGCUAACUACGUG
rnacentral:rRNA from 1 species